rnacentral:rRNA from 1 species
UACGUAGGUGGCAAGCGUUGUCCGGAUUUACUGGGCGUAAAGGGAGCGUAGGCGGACUUUUAAGUGGGAUGUGAAAUACUCGGGCUCAACCCGAGUGCUGCAUUCCAAACUGGAAGUCUAGAGUGCAGGAGGGGGAAGUGGAAUUCCUAGUGUAGCGGUGAAAUGCGUAGAUAUUAGGAAGAACACCGGUGGCGAAGGCGACUUUCUGGACUGUAACUGACGCUGAGGCUCGAAAGCGUGGGGAGCAAACAGG